rnacentral:lncRNA from 1 species
CCUUUCUUCUUCAUCGUAUUUACACAUUCGUAAAUAUGCAUACAUACAUGCACACAUUCAUUUUCAAAUAGAGCACGUAUGCGUAGAAACACAUGCUCACUAACACUCGUACACUUACACACAUAUCACACUCUCGCCACUUUAUUUUCUAUCUUAUCUUUGCUUCAUUUUGUUAGUUCUUGCCUUAUUCUUCUACCAUCUCUGUUUUCUCUCUUUUUAUCUUUCUAUCAGCCCCGUGAAACUACGCACACAAACACACACACACACACACACACACACACACACACACACACACACACACACACACACACACACACACACACACACACACACACACACACACACACUCAGACACACACACACACACAUCUCAACAUAUCUCAACAUUUACAACAAAUAUAGACAGUAACUUACUCCCCCUCUCUUUGCUUUUCUGCUCCUCCUGUUUCCCUCUCUUCCCCUAUGUCACUCACUCUCAGACACGUACUCCCUCCCUUGUUUACUCUGUAUCUAUCACUCAAUUUAUUCAUCACCCUCUCCGUCAAGCAAUCAUUACCUCUCACUCUUUCAAAAACUAACAGACGACAGCCUUCCCCUUUCCGCCAUUCUCUCUCGUUCUGUUAGCUAUGGAGUUUAUAUUAUACACGGACAACAUCCACUGACCAGUAGUAGUGGUGGUAGUAGUAGUAGUAGUAGUAGUAAUAAUAAUAAUAAUAAUAAUAAUAACAAUAAUAAUAAUAAUAAUAAUAAUAAUAAUAAUAAUAAUAAUAAUAAUAACCAUCAACACAAUUUCUUCACCGAUGGAUUUAUUUUACAUAUAACAAAAAUAGCAAGAAAAUAAAUAAUAUAGAAAUAUAUACUUGUGUGUGUCGUAUAUACACACACACAAAUGAAUGUAUAUAUGUAUAUAUUUUGAUUUGGGGUUAUCAGUCGAAGAGAAAAUCGCAACGACCGGAAUUUUAAAAAUCUGCAGUUAACCACAUAAACAAGAAAUGGAUAUUUCAUAGGAAAUAUUACCACCGACGACAACAACAACAACAACAUCAACAACAGUUACAGCAACAAAAAAAUCAUCAAUAAUUCUCACAAUAAUAACAGUAAUAAUAAUAUUGGUAAUUGUAAUAAGAAGCGUGUAUUUGCUUCAAAGGCGAUACAACAACAGGCGAUCAGCAAUAACAACAACAUAGUAUAAUUUUCAUAUUUCUUGCCGUUAUAGUACUUGUUAUUGUUGUAAAUAGUCAUUAAUUAGAUGUAUAAAAAUACUUCAUAAAAUAUAUAUAGCAGCGUACAAAGAAAUCUUGGAGUAUUCCCUUAAUUUAUUUUUUAAACUAAACAACAAAAUAAUUAUAAAUACGAAAACCAAAUGUUCCAGGAAAUAUAUACAAAUGAAUAAUAAUAAUAAUAGUAAUAACAACAACAAUAAUCGUUAAUAUUAGUAUUAGUAGUGCCAAUAUUUAUAUUAACGUGAAAGAAAUGUUUGGAUGGGAGGCAGUAGUAGAGAAAUUGUUCCAACUGAGAACAUAGCAACAACAGCAAUAACAACAACAAUAACAACAGUGUUUUUGUACAGUUUGAAAGUACCAUAGCAAGAUAUGUGGCAAGACCAGCUGGUCUGUAAAAAUGG